CCUUACAUGCAAGUCGAAACGGGUAACGCGGGGCAACCUGGCGACGAGUGGCGAACGGGUGAGUAAUACAUCGGAACGUGCCCAGUAGUGGGGGAUAGCCCGGCGAAAGCCGGAUUAAUACCGCAUACGACCUACGGGUGAAAGCGGGGGAUCGCAAGACCUCGCGCUAUUGGAGCGGCCGAUGUCAGAUUAGGUAGUUGGUGAGGUAAAGGCUCACCAAGCCUACGAUCUGUAGCUGGUCUGAGAGGACGACCAGCCACACUGGGACUGAGACACGGCCCAGACUCCUACGGGAGGCAGCAGUGGGGAAUUUUGGACAAUGGGCGCAAGCCUGAUCCAGCCAUGCCGCGUGCGGGAAGAAGGCCUUCGGGUUGUAAACCGCUUUUGUCAGGGAAGAAACGCUCUGGGCUAAUACCCUGGGGUAAUGACGGUACCUGAAGAAUAAGCACCGGCUAACUACGUGCCAGCAGCCGCGGUAAUACGGAGGGUGCGAGCGUUAAUCGGAAUUACUGGGCGUAAAGCGCGCGUAGGUGGUUUGUUAAGUCAGCUGUGAAAGCCCCGGGCUCAACCUGGGGAACUG
rnacentral:rRNA from 1 species